GUCUGAGAGGAUGACCAGCCACACUGGAACUGAGACACGGUCCAGACUCCUACGGGAGGCAGCAGUGGGGAAUAUUGCACAAUGGGCGCAAGCCUGAUGCAGCCAUGCCGCGUGUAUGAAGAAGGCCUUCGGGUUGUAAAGUACUUUCAGCGGGGAGGAAGGUGUUGUGGUUAAUAACCGCAGCAAUUGACGUUACCCGCAGAAGAAGCACCGGCUAACUCCGUGCCAGCAGCCGCGGUAAUACGGAGGGUGCAAGCGUUAAUCGGAAUUACUGGGCGUAAAGCGCACGCAGGCGGUCUGUCAAGUCGGAUGUGAAAUCCCCGGGCUCAACCUGGGAACUGCAUUCGAAACUGGCAGGCUUGAGUCUUGUAGAGGGGGGUAGAAUUCCAGGUGUAGCGGUGAAAUGCGUAGAGAUCUGGAGGAAUACCGGUGGCGAAGGCGGCACCCUGGACAAAGACUGACGCUCAGGCGCGAAAGCGUGGGGAGCAAACAGGAUUAGAU
rnacentral:rRNA from 1 species